GCGAUAUAAGGCGCCGCGCGGGCUCGGGGUCCAGCGCCCGUCCGGUCCCGCCGCCGCGCCUUGUCCUGCCGCUCAGCCCGCCUCGGCGCCCCCUGCGCGCCCCGGCCUGGCAGCGGCUGCAUCAGGGCCGCCCCCUACCGCGGCAUCUCCUGCUACCGCGGCCCCGCUGCGUCUGCGGGGGCUUCCGGGCCGGCUCCUGCGGCCGCAGCUUCGGAUACCGCUCCGGCGAAGUGCGCGCACCCAGCUCUCCCUGCAUCACCACCGUGUCAGUCAACGAGAGCCUCCUGGCGCCCCUCAACCUGGAGAUCGACCCCAACGCGCAGAGCGUGAAGCACGAGGAGAAGGAGUAGGUCAAGUGCCUCAACAACGGGUUCGCUGCCUUCAUCGACAAGCAGGUGCGCUUCCUGGAGCAGCAGAACAAGCUGCUGGAGGCCAAGUGGAGGUUCUACCAGAAGCCGCUGUGGCCGGAUGCCAAGUGCGUGGAGGCCGACAGCGGGAGGCUGACCUUGGAGCUCAACCACGUGCAGGAGGUGCUGGGGAACUACAAGAAGAGGUGAGCACAUCGGGGAGGAGCGUCUGGAGAAAGGAGAUGGGAUUCAGUUAAAGCAGGAGAGCUUUGGAUUAGCCCACAAGAAGAACUUUCCAACAAAAAGCAGACGACAAGAAACCUGUGGGAGAACUUUUCCUUUCUGGGAUGGGAGCUUAAACAUCGGAGAGAGUCUGAGCUGCUCCAGCUCCCUCAUCACCAUGCGUUUAUUUCAUUAAUCCAUCAAACACUUCCUGAACUUCUACUCUAUGUUCCAAGUGCCGUGUUGGGCCCUGAGGUGGGGCAGGGGUGAGAAAGAACGGAGGAGGGGAAAGUGUUCCUGUCCCCAGGGACUUACGAUCCAGAAGCAGAGAGGAGGCCUACAAAAAUAUGCAGGGUACCCACCCAGCCCCCAUCAGGAAUGAGAGUCCCCGAAACAGGCUGAGCAGUGGGUGACGUGGCUGGGUUUGAGCGCCCGGAGGAAAUAGAUGGACAAGGUCCCUCCACGUCUGGAUUCUGUAACCACCUCCAGAACACGCGGUUCCUGGAAUGUGUUUGUCUGGGCUUCAUGGCCAGCCUAUGGAAGUUCUAGCCACCGACCCUUGUGCCCUUUGUCCCCAGGUAUGAAGAGGAGGUGGCACUAAAGGCCACCACUGAGAAUGAAUUUGUGGCUCUGAAGAAGAUAAGUGACCCCAGAAUCCUUGUCCCACACCUCAGAACUGAGGGCAGAAGCAGGAGGGAGCUCUCUGUAAUUCAGAGAGGCUGAGGGACUCCCCCAGAGUCACACAGCACCACCUCUUCCCUAUUCCUUUCCCCAAAUGCCGCAGUGCUCCCUGAGCUGCCCCAGACCUCAGAGUACUCUCCCGCUUCAAGCAGGGCAGUCUUCUCCCCAUCCAGGGUAACUCCCAUCUGGCCAUGGGCCUCCUGCCUCCUGCCCUGUGUGUGGCAGAGAGAAGGCACUCCGUGAAUGCGGGUGGAUGACAGUACGUGACUGCCAGAGGCUGGCUGCAUCCUCGGGCCGGCAACAGGUGGGAAGUGCUGGCGUGAACGAGGCCGUUGUUCCUCACCUCUCGGACUUCCGUCUGCACAGGCGCCAGCAUGGGGACGCUCACCAGGUCCUUCCAGCCACCUCCAUAUGAGGAAGGCAGGGGUUACCAUGGAGAAACUGAGGCACAGAGGUCCAGGGUCUUGCCCUGAAUUGCACUGAGACCUCUUCUGACCACAGAUCUAGAUUUCUUUCCAUGAGAUUCCAGAGCAGAGAGGGUGGGGCAUCACUGGAAUAGACCCAUUUUACAGGAGAUCCUAAGUUUCAGUGAUAGUUCUAGAUGUGGAUUCCAGAGGAGUCAUUCCAGUGGGAAUCAGAGGAAGUGCCUGGAACCCUCAGGAUCCCCCUCUGUUGCCCAAACCUGCUCCUCACGGCAUAAAGGACCUCACCAAUGCCAUGGUACCAGGCACUGGGCUGAGCAGCUAAGAAGGGUGUCUGGGGAGUGUGCCCAGCCCAGUGAGGUGUCCCUCGCUGGUGGGGAGAGCUCUAAGUUGUCACUCCAGUGAGACCCCUGGGCCGCCUUCUCCCCUUUAGGACGUGGACUGCGCCUACCUGCACAAAUCAGACCUGGAGACCAACGCGGAGGCCCCGGUCCAGGAGAUCGACUUCCUGCGGCGACUGUAUGAGGAGGAGCUCCAGAUCCUCCACGCCCACAUCUCAGACACCUCGGGCAUCGUCAAGAUGGACAACAGCCGGGAACUGAACAUGGACAACAUCCUGGCCAAGAUCAAGGCCCAGUACGAUGACAUCGCCAGCGGCAGCCAGGCCGAGGCCGAGUCCUUGUACCGCAGCAAGUGCGAGGAGAUAAAGGCCACGGUGGUCUGGCACGGGGAGACCCUGCGCCGCACCAAGGAGGAGAUCAACGAGCUGAACCGCGUGAUCCAGAGGCUGACCGCCGAGGUCGAGAAUGCCGAGUGCCAGGAACUCGAAGCUGGAGGGGGCCAUAAGCCAGGCUGAGCAGCAGAGCGAGGCGGCCCUCACUGACGCCGGCUGCAGGCUGGCUGGGCUGGAGGAGGCCCUGCAGAAGGCCAAGCAGGACAUGGCCUGCCUGCUCAGGGAGUACCAGGAGGUGAUGAACGCCAAGCUGGGCCUGGACUCGGAGAUCACCACCUACAGGCGCCUGCUGGAGGGUGAGGGGCAGAGGUGAGGCCCUCAGCGGUGGGGAGGAUGUCUCUUCCAUCCCCCCAAACUGUGCUUAGAGCCAGGAGCAUGUUUGCAUAUUAUUUGCAUCUGAUUUGCAUCAAGAUUACUUGGAGGAGGGAAUUUGCAGGUUAACAGUAGAUUUCAUCAGCUUUGCUCCCCCUCAACUAAUUUUUGUCUCUUUGCUCUCCCCACAAGGUUGUGUGAGGGCGUUGGUGCUAUAAAGUGACCAGUGACCCGUACUGUGGGUUCUGAAAUAAGGGCUUGAGAUGGGCAAACUUUUUCUUAAAGGGCAGAUAGCAAAUAUUUUAGGCUUGUGGGCCAUGCAGCCUCUGUCUCAACUCUUCAGCUUGGUCCAUGUGAUGUGAAAGCAGCCACAGCCAUAAGCAAUACUUAACAAAUAGGUAUCACUGGGUUCCAACAAAACUGUAUUUACAAAAACAGGAGGCCGGCGUGUGCGGCCAUAGUUGGAAGACCCUAAAAGGAAGGAGGGGGUGUGGCAGUGAAUGAUUGUAACUUAAAAUUGCUAUUUCUGCCUAUAGGGAGGGUCUGGGCUAAGAGUUUAUCAAAGAUGCUUGAAGUUAAACUGCAGGAAGGAGUGCUCAGGUGUGAGGAUUUUGGGGGAGCUGGGAAAUAGAAAUGGAGGGGUGGAGCUCUGAGCGAGAGAAGAGGGCUCUGGGCCAGCAAGCAGGGGCCGCAUGCCACGACCUCACAUGAGAACUAAGCCCUGUCUUCCACCUGCAGGUGUCAGCAGCUCCCAGGCCGGGGUCGUCUGCGGGGACCUCUGCGUAUCGGGCUCCCGGCCCUGCACCGGGAACGUGGCGGUGAGCGCCGGCCUGUGCGCCCCCUGCGCGCCCGCCCGGUGCGCGCCCCCGGAACACAGCUGCGGCCGCGGCCGCCUGGUGCGGUUUGCGUAGCGCCUCCGGCUUCGUAAAUACCCGGCUCCGCGAGCGAACUGUCCCCGCCUGCGGCGGCGGCCCCGGACCUCCCAGAGGCCCUGACUUGAGGCCGAAGGGCUGCGGGAACCGGCCGGCCCGACCUGACCAAACUGCGGCUUCUCUCCUUGCCUCUCCCCGCUUCGUCUCUUCGUUUCUUCCGGGGAGGCCGGGCUCCUCGGCCGCAUGUCUAGCAGCUCCCCCCACCCCUAAGAGUCUAAACGACUGGUUUCCUCGCAGCCCUGGGCAAAGAUCCAACCUCGGGCUGCCCUGGGGACUCAGACGCGUGUGGCUUCUAAGGGACAGCCUGACCCCAGGGACCCUCGUGGUGGACGCUGCGGCGCGGUGCCUCCUCUGCCUUCUGAACCCUCUGAGGUUGCGUUGCCAAGUACGGACGACCUUCCGCUGCUGCCUCCGCUCCCCUCGUGCUGGGUCUCCACUUUCUAAUAAAGGUCAUGGGUCAUAUAUAAGUCGCUGCCGUCACACGUUUGUGCUUACACAUGUGGCCUUCCGGCCCAGUUUUCACCCCGGUCAGAGGCAACAGAGGAGCUGUUCUCAGCCAAAGAGGGAGAGAGGGCUGUCUGAGGCACCCUACCCCUAGCCCGACGCUAUAUACAUCCUGAAGGAUGGGCGCCAGUCCCAAAAACCCAGACACGGAAGAGUGAGGAGCAGCUAGAAGUGACGAG
rnacentral:lncRNA from 1 species